rnacentral:tRNA from 2 species
GCCCGGGUGGCGAAAUGGUAGACGCAGGGGACUCAAAAUCCCCCGCAGCAAUGCGUGUCGGUUCGAGUCCGACCCCGGGCACCA